AAACCAUGGUGCGGACACUGAAUCAAUAAAUUAUUGAAUCUCUCCCAUGCCUAAAAAAAAGUCUCAUCUGUAUGUUGAGUGAAAUGCAUGAUAUUAUCUCUUAAAGUAU